CUUUCCCAACUCACACAACUCUGUUUACAAUUCUCGCCACUAGUUUUGUUGGGUCUAAACGAGAUUCACGACAUGCUUGGAUUGUCGAAAAGCUUGGAAAGAAGAGAUUCACGACAAGCUUGGAUUAUCCAAAAGCUUAGUCUGUUCUUGAGGUGAGUUGAAUUCAUUCGAUGGUUGAUAAAGUAAAAUCAAUCGGUCAUCAAUCAUCAAUGGAGGAACUUUACAUAUUUCGUGCAAUGGUUCAGAAUGAAGGAGAAAGAUGUUUGACAUAUGUGCACGAGGCUGAUAGAAUUUAUGUACAAGCCGAUUAUAGAAGAGAUAGAGGGAGUCACUAUCUUCACCAACACGUCAAGAAGGAAAAAA